UAUGGUGACUAUAGCAGUGGGGUUCACCUCUUUCCAUUCCGAACAGAGAAGUUAAGCCCAUUAGCGCAGAUGGUACUAGGUUUUCCUGGGAGAGUAUGUCGUUGCCAAUU
rnacentral:rRNA from 1 species